CAUGCAAGUCGAACGAUGAAGAAAAGAAUUGAAGCUUCGGCAGAAAUUCAUUUCGGAUUAGUGGCAGACGGGUGAGUAACGCGUGAGCAACCUACCUCUUACAAAGGGAUAGCCUCGGGAAACCGGGAUUAAUACCAUAUAACAUUGCGACGAAGCAUUUCGAUGCAAUCAAAGCUACGGCGGUAAGAGAUGGGCUCGCGUCCCAUUAACCAGAUGGUGAGGUAACGGCUCACCAUAGUAACGAUGGGUAACCGGCCUGAGAGGGUGAACGGUCACACUGGAACUGAGACACGGCCCAGACUCCUACGGGAGGCAGCAGUGGGGAAUAUUGCACAAUGGAGGGAACUCUGAUGCAGCGACGCCGCGUGAGUGAUGAAGGAAUUCGUUUCGUAAAACUCUGUUCUAUGGGAAGAAAAGGACUGUACCAUAGGAGAAAGCUCCGGCUAAAUACGUGCCAGCAGCCGCGGUAAUACGUAUGGAGCGAGCGUUGUCCGGAAUUAUUGGGCGUAAAGGGUGCGCAGGCGGCUUUACAAGUUGGAUGUGAAAUAUUGUGGCUCAACCACAAACGUGCAUCCAAAACUGCAAAGCUUGAGUUAAGGAGAGGUAAGUGGAAUUCCUGGUGUAGCGGUGGAAUGCGUAGAUAUCAGGAGGAAUACCGGUGGCGAAGGCGACUUACUGGACUUAAACUGACGCUCAGGCACGAAAGCGUGGGGAGCAAACAGGAUUAGAUACCCUGGUAGUCCACGCCGUAAACGAUGAGUGCUAGGUGUUGGGGGUCAAACCUCGGUGCCGCAAGCAAACGCAAUAAGCACUCCGCCUGGGGAGUACGUGCACAAGCAUGAAACUCAAAGGAAUUGACGGGGACCCGCACAAGCAGCGGAGCAUGUGGUU
rnacentral:rRNA from 1 species